GACGAACGCUGGCGGCGUGCUUAACACAUGCAAGUCGAACGGAAAGGCCCUUCGGGGUACUCGAGUGGCGAACGGGUGAGUAACACGUGGGUGAUCUGCUCUGCACUUUGGGAUAAGCCUGGGAAACUGGGUCUAAUACCGAAUAGGACCACGCGCUUCAUGGUGUGUGGUGGAAAGCUUUUGCGGUGUGGGAUGGGCCCGCGGCCUAUCAGCUUGUUGGUGGGGUAAUGGCCUACCAAGGCGACGACUGGUAGCCGGCCUGAGAGGGUGACCGGCCACACUGGGACUGAGAUACGGACCAGGCUCCUACGGGAGGCAGCAGUGGGGAAUAUUGCGCAAUGGGGGCAAGCCUGAUGCAGCGACGCCGCGUGAGGGAUGACGGCCUUCGGGUUGUAAACCUCUUUCAAUGGGGACGAGGCGCAAGUGACGGUACCUAUAGAAGAAGCACCGGCCAACUACGUG
rnacentral:rRNA from 1 species